rnacentral:sRNA from 11 species
GGGUGUCCCCUUACUCCCUCACAGCUCCAUGUGCAUCCCUACCGAAGCUGCACGCUUGGGGGAAGAGGACGACAUCCCAGGUAUAGAAGGAGUGUACCUCUUGCACACACACAAAUGACAGUAGGGACUAAUUACAGUUUUGUUUCAAUCUCGUUUUGACUUGGCAUAUCCAUACAGCACCUAU